GCAGGGCGCCGGCUCUCUGGCAACAGACUGCCCUCCUCCGGGCGCUGGGCGGCCGGCUACUUCUCAGGCUGGGGCGGCCUCGGCAGUCUCCAUGGUAACGGCCCCGCCGGCGUCUCAGCCUGGGAGGGAAGAUGCUGCCUGCCGGGCCCGCUCCCUUGCCCCCGGCCUCACGGCCGGGCAGGGGCCACUGAGGAAGAAGGUCCCGGCCGCCGGACUUCGGGGCAGGGGGCACCAGUGAAAUCCCAUUCUCUGGCUGGAGACACAGAUGGCCUCAAAUGAGAGAGAUGCUAUAUCGUGGUACCAAAAGAAGAUUGGAGCAUAUGAUCAGCAGAUAUGGGAAAAGUCGAUCGAACAGACUCAGAUUAAGGGCUUCAAAAACAAACCAAAAAAGAUGGGUCACAUAAAGGCAGAUUUGAUUGAUGUGGACUUAAUCAGAGGCUCAACAUUUGCCAAAGCCAAACCUGAAAUCCCGUGGACGUCUCUGACUCGAAAGGGGCUUGUUCGAGUUGUAUUGUUUCCAUUUUUCAGCACUUGGUGGAUUCAGGUUACCUCUUUAAGAAUCUUUGUUUGGCUGCUGCUGCUUUACCUCAUGCAAGUUAUAGCUCUCGUGUUAUAUUUUCUGAUGCCUAUUGUGAAUGUAAGUGAAGUCCUUGGACCCUUGUGCCUUAUGUUACUCAUGGGAACUGUCCACUGUCAAAUCGUGUCUACUCAGAUCACAAGGCCAUCAGGGAACAAUGGAAAUCGGAGAAGAAGAAAGUUACGAAAAACUGCAAAUGGUGAUGGGAGCCGAGAAAAUGGAAAUAAUUCCUCUGAUAAAGCCAGAGGAAUAGAAACUUUGGAAUCUGCACCCUUUAAUGGUGGCUUUUGGGGGACACUCUUUGGCAACAGGAUUAAAAGAGUAAAAUUAAUAUGUAACAAAGGGACGGAAACUGACAAUGACUCAAGUUGUUUACAUCCUGUCAUCAAGAAGAGACAGUGUCGACCAGAGUUUAGAAUGUGGCAAACAAGAGAGAAAGCAAAAUUUUCAGAUGGAGAAAAGGGACGAAGGGAGUCUUUUAGGCAUUUGGGUAAUGGGAUUUCAGAUGAUCUGUCAAGUGAGGAAGACGGCGAAGCCCGGACACAGAUGAUGAUACUGCGGAGGAGCGUGGAAGGGGCCUCGAGUGACAAUGGUUGUGAAGUUAAGAAUAGAAAAUCAGUACUUUCACGGCACCUAAACACUCAGGUAAAGAAAACCACCUCCAAGUGGUGUCCUAUUAUGCGGGAUUCAGAUAGUCUGGCUGAAUCAGAGUUCGAAUCGGCUGCCUUCAGUCAGGGCUCUAGAUCUGGCAUGAGCGGUGGUUCUAGAAGCCUCAGCAUGUCGCGAAGAGACUCGGAGAGCACCCGCCAUGACUCGGAGACAGAGGACAUGUUGUGGGACGAUCUGCUGCACGGCCCCGAGUGCCGGUCGUCGGUCACCAGCGACAGUGAGGGGGCCCGUGUGAACUCCCUUCACUCGGGGACCAAACGCGACCCCAAAGAGGAUGUUUUUCAGCAGAACCAUUUAUUCUGGCUUCAGAACUCAAGCCCUGCAUCUGAUCGCGUUAGUGCCAUAAUCUGGGAAGGGAGUGAAUGCAAAAAGAUGGAUAUGUCUGUGCUGGAAAUAAGUGGCAUCAUCAUGAGCAGGGUCAAUGCAUAUCAGCAAGGAGUCGGUUAUCAGAUGCUGGGGAAUGUCGUCACCAUCGGAUUAGCCUUUUUUCCUUUUUUACAUCGACUGUUCCGUGAGAAGAGCCUUGACCAGCUAAAGACCAUCUCAGCUGAGGAGAUCUUGACUCUCUUUUGUGGGGCACCACCUGUUACGCCUAUUAUUAUUUUGUCUAUAAUUAAUUUUUUUGAACGAUUGUGUCUUACUUGGAUGUUUUUUUUCAUGAUGUGUGUGGCAGAGAGAACAUAUAAACAGAGAUUUUUAUUUGCAAAACUCUUCAGCCAUAUUACUUCUGCCAGGAAAGCUAGGAAGUAUGAAAUACCUCAUUUCAGACUUAAAAAGGUAGAGAACAUUAAGAUAUGGUUAUCACUGCGUUCCUUUCUAAAGAGACGGGGCCCACAGCGUUCAGUGGACGUGGUUGUGUCUUCAGUCUUCCUACUGACACUUUCCAUUGCUUUCAUUUGCUGUGCGCAGGUUCUCCGGGGACAUAAAACUUUCCUGAAUGAUGUUUAUAAUUGGGAGUUUUUGAUCUGGGAAUCAGCUUUACUACUUUUCUUACUGCGCCUAGCCUCAUUGGGGUCUGAAACCAAUAAGAAAUACAGCAAUGUUUCAAUAUUACUUACUGAACAGAUUAAUUUAUAUCUUAAGAUGGAAAAAAAGCCGAAUAAGAAAGAACAGCUUACUCUAGUAAACAAUGUAUUAAAGCUCUCCACCAAGUUGUUGAAAGAGUUGGACACACCGUUUAGACUCUAUGGACUGACGAUGAAUCCCUUAAUCUACAACAUCACACGAGUCGUGAUCCUCUCUGCUGUCUCAGGUGUUAUCAGCGAUCUUCUAGGAUUUAAUAUACGACUGUGGAAAAUUAAGUCAUAAGCUGAGCCAUGUGCCUGGACUCUCUCCCCUUGCUGGCAUCACUGCUUAACCCAUUAAGGAAAGAGAUGACUGCAAAACCAUGAGAUACCCACCUGCUUGUUCACACACAGAGAGACAAGUAAAAAAAUUCUAAAUACCAGGAUAUGCUACAAAGUCUAAACUUAUAUGGCUGUGUUUUUGUUUUAUUGUAUCUAGAGUUAUUGGUGCCCAUCUUGAAUAAUGAAGUUUGAAUUUCACAAAUUGCAAUAAUCCCCUCCCUUUCCUGCAGUACAUCCUGAGCCCAUAUGCUGUAAUACAGUCUUAUUCAAGGUCACAACCGCUUCUCGGCCACACCCGUAGUGCCUGUGGCUCUGUUUGCACUUGGCACCUUCCAGGGCCCCGGAGUUAUUGGUGUUUUCUUAGCUGGAGAACUGCUUUCAGGCACAAUGUCCUUUAAUUCUUCUGCCUUUUCGCAUGUCUGAACUCUCAUUAAAGAUUCUUCAGUCACUGGCACCUGAGACUCUUCAAAUAUGGAAGCAGAAUGUGAAGAUGGGGGAAAU